rnacentral:rRNA from 1 species
AUGCUGCCGGUUGGCGUCAAGUUUGAUCCCCCGGAUCAGGAGUUGAUCGAGCACCUUGAGGCCAAAGUGAGUGCUGACAGCGCGAGAGCUCACCGUCUCAUCGAUUUUUUCAUACCAACCAUUAACAGCGAUCACGACAUAUGCUACACCCAUCCUGAGAAACUUCCAGGUAUCACACUGAGUGGUCUAAGCAAGCAUUUCUUCCAGCGCAAUUCCAGGGCGUUUGAAAGGGGCACGUGGACGCAUCGCAAGAUACAUUCGGAGUGUGGCAUGCACGUGAUGUGGCAUAAGACCAACAAUACCUUGCCGGUGAUGGGCAACGGCCGGCAUACGGGCAGCAAAAAGGUUCUGGUGCUGCACACCAACAAGAACUUGGACCAGCAGAGGACCAACUGGGUGAUGCACCAGUACCACCUCGGGGACCUAGAGAAAGAGAAAGAGCGGGAGCUGGUCCUAUGCAAGAUUUUCUACCAGAUGAACACUAGGGCCAGGAGUAAAAAGAUUAUAAGUCGAGCAAGUUUCAACUGGGAUGUAGACUGCCCAGGCUUGGUUUUGUUUUUAUCAGGCCCAACCCAUGACGACAAUAGGGCACAAAGAUCCAGCAGCUUGCAGAUGGCCGAGGAAGGGCUCCCAGUUGAUAUCAAGCUUGUCCCAACAUUGUUUGCUGAAGGAGCAGGUGAAGAUCAUAUAUUCAACAGUUUCAUCGAUGUUCUGACCGCAGAGUAG